AUCCCCAGUGAUACGAUUCUCAGAUACACUGCUGCACAGACGUCCUGCAGACACAAUAAAAGUGGUCUACGUACUGAUUCACAGAUUCACUGUUCUUCAUGGAGUGUCCACUUCUGUGUUUGGCCGUCCUGCUCUUUAUGAGUGGAACGGCAACAGGACAAACUACUACAACAUCAGAAAGCAUGUUCCCAUACACAACACAAGGUAAAG